rnacentral:rRNA from 1 species
GAAGCGGCAACAGCUCAAAUUUGAAAUCUGGCGCAAGCCCGAGUUGUAAUUUGUAGAGGAUGCUUCUGGGCAGCGGCCGUUCUAAGUUCCUUGGAACAGGACGUCAUAGAGGGUGAGAAUCCCGUAUGUGACCGGCGCGCACCCUCCACGUAGCUCCUUCGACGAGUCGAGUUGUUUGGGAAUGCAGCUCUAAAUGGGAGGUAAAUUUCUUCUAAAGCUAAAUACCGGCCAGAGACCGAUAGCGCACAAGUAGAGUGAUCGAAAGAUGAAAAGCACUUUGGAAAGAGAGUUAAAAAGCACGUGAAAUUGUUGAAAGGGAAGCGCUUGCAACCAGACUCCGCGGCGGUGUUCCGCCGGUCUUCUGACCGGUCUACUCGCCGCCGUGGGGCCAACAUCGUCUCGGGCCGCCGGAUAAGACCGUGAGAAUGUGGCUCCCUCGGGAGUGUUAUAGCUCGCGGUGAUGCGGCGUGCCUGGGGCGAGGUCCGCGCUUCGGCAAGGAUGUUGGCGUAAUGGUUGCCAGCGGCCCGUCUUGAAACACGGACCAAGGAGUCUAACAUCUAUGCGAGUGUUCGGGUGUCAAACCCCUACGCGUAAUGAAAGUGAACGGAGGUGGGAGCUUCGGCGCACCAUCGACCGAUCCUGAUGUCCUCGGAUGGAUUUGAGUAAGAGCAUAGCUGUUGGGACCCGAAAGAUGGUGAACUAUGCCUGAAUAGGGUGAAGCCAGAGGAAACUCUGGUGGA